rnacentral:lncRNA from 1 species
UUAAGAGAGCCGAAUGGCUACUAGAUUUCUUAUUUGGAUAUUUAAGUGACCAGACUGGAGGUAAGGUCCCUGGUCGAGCUUUGCUCUCGGGGCGCCAGUCUUAUUGGAUAAGAGAGCCAAAAGGCUAAGGCUGAGAGUUAAGUGACCGGACUGGAUGUAAGGUCCCUAGUCGAGCUUUGCUCUCUGGGCGCCAGUCUUGUUGGAAUGAGAGGUUUGAGAUGUUAGAGUUGAGGUUAGUUGAGACAUAAGUGUUGAAAUAAUCGAGAUUUUAGAGUUGGGAUUAGAGUUCUACUGAAGUACUCUGUCCCGUUGCAUGUGGAAUAAAUUU